rnacentral:rRNA from 1 species
UACGAAGGGGGCUAGCGUUGCUCGGAUUGACUGGGCGUAAAGGGCGCGUAGGCGGUUCGUACAGUCAGACGUGAAAUUCCUGGGCUCAACCUGGGGGCUGCGUUUGAUACGUGCGGACUUGAGUGCGGAAGAGGGUCGUGGAAUUCCCAGUGUAGAGGUGAAAUUCGUAGAUAUUGGGAGGAACACCGGUGGCGAAGGCGGCGACCUGGGUCGAGACUGACGCUGAGGCGCGAAAGCGUGGGGAGCAAACAGG